CUGGCUUGGGCAGCAGAUAUGCUAAAAUUAGAAUGAUACAGAGAAGAUUAGCAUGACCCCUGCACAAGGAUGACACAUAUAUUCCUGAAGCAUUCCAUAUUUAA